AUUUUUCUCAUUUGAAAUUUCAUAAAUAAAAAAGAAAAUUUCUUCAAACAUUUUUUGAGAGGAUUAAUAUUCAACAGCAUAGUGAAUUGCUCUAAGAGAAAACAAAAAUUUUAAGUUCAUUAGAACACAUUCAUUCUGUGUCAGAAACCUAUGCUGUGUCAACUAUUUAAUCACAAUCCAAAUUUAGAGCUGAAUCCAGCUUGAAUGUUGUGUCCAUACUUGCCCCAACCGUUCAGGGUUCAACCUCUGCGGUCGUAUAAAGCUACGCCCUGCGGAGCAUCUGGUUAACCUAU
rnacentral:lncRNA from 1 species